rnacentral:rRNA from 1 species
GGACUACUGGGGUUUCUAAUCCUGUUUGCUCCCCACGCUUUCGCGCCUCAGCGUCAGAACCGGACCAGACAGCCGCCUUCGCCACUGGUGUUCUUGCGAAUAUCUACGAAUUUCACCUCUACACUCGCAGUUCCGCUGUCCUCUUCCGGUCUCAAGCCAACCAGUAUCGAAGGCAAUUCUGUGGUUGAGCCACAGGCUUUCACCCCCGACUUAAUCGGCCGCCUACGCGCCCUUUACGCCCAGUGAUUCCGAGCAACGCUAGCCCCCUUCGUAUUACCGCGGCGGCUGGCAC